rnacentral:rRNA from 1 species
AUCGGAAUUACUUGGCGUAAAGCGUGCGCAGGCGGUCCGCUAAGACAGAUGUGAAAUCCCCCGGGCUUAACCUGGAACUGCAUUUGUGACUGGCGGGCUAGAGUAUGGCAGAGGGGGGUAGAAUUCCACGUGUAGCAGUGAAAUGCGUAGAGAUGUGGAGGAAUACCGAUGGCGAAGGCAGCCCCCUGGGCCAAUACUGACGCUCAUGCACGAAAGCGUGGGGAGCAAACAGGAUUAGAUACCCUGGUAGUCCACGCCCUAAACGAUGUCAACUAGUUGUCGGGCCUUCAUUGGCUUGGUAACGUAGCUAACGCGUGAAGUUGACCGCCUGGGGAGUACGGUCGCAAGAUUAAAACUCAAAGGAAUUGACGGGGACCCGCACAAGCGGUGGAUGAUGUGGAUUAAUUCGAUGCAACGCGAAAAACCUUACCUACCCUUGACAUGUACGGAAUCCUGCUGAGAGGUGGGAGUGCCCGAAAGGGAGCCGUAACACAGGUGCUGC